GUGCUCACUUCGGCAGCACAUAUACUAAAAUUUGAACGAUACAGAGAAGAUUAGCAUGGCCCCUGUGCAAGGAUAACACGCAAAUUCAUGAAGCGUUCCAUAUUUUU
rnacentral:snRNA from 1 species